CUGAACACAGCCUUCAUCCACCUCAUGAAGGAUGAAAACCUUAAAGAUCAUAACCAUCAUACAAACUAUUGCAAGAUUCUCUUGGUCUGCCUAUUUGCACCAGUCCAAAACCAACCUCAGCCCCUGCAAACAAAGGUGAUGCUGAAUCUGUGAAUCCACAUGGAUUCUUCCCGUCUCCAGAGCUACUGAGGUGUUUCGUUCUGGGGUUCUUUCUUUUGAUUGCAGUCAUCACAAAUAUCCUCUUGUGUGAUCAUGAUAAAAGAAGAAAGCUGUUAGAGACAUGAACCUGCAGACCUCAGGUGAAGGAAAAUAACUAUGCUUUCCAUCUCGUCAUGGUCAAAAACAACAGCAGUGAUGCUAAGGUUCCUGUAUCUCCUCAGCGUAUCUGAGCGCAGAGGAGCGUUGAGAGUGCAUCGUAUGACACAGACUAUGAGCAACAUGACAUCAGUCCGGAAACAGCUUUUCCUUUAUCCACUUCUCAAAACAUUGAGAAAGCAGGAGAGACCAAGGAUGGUUGUAACGUGGGGUCAGCUGUUAUUACGUUUAACCACACAGAAAUUAGGUACAGAGAUGAAAUUGCUAGCAGGGUUGAGGGGAAUUAUUUUCAAAAACAAAUUGUUUAAUGGUAACACUUUAUAG
rnacentral:lncRNA from 1 species